rnacentral:rRNA from 1 species
CAGGACGAACGCUGGCGGCGUGCCUAAUACAUGCAAGUCGAACGGCUUUUCUAUGGAAGCUUGCUUCCACUGGGAAGAUAGUGGCGAACGGGUGAGUAACACGUGGGUAACCUGCCCAUAAGAGGGGGGAUAACAUCCGGAAACGGGUGCUAAUACCGCAUAGUUUUCUUGAUCGCAUGAUCGGGAAAGGAAAGACGGCCUUUGUGCUGUCGCUUAUGGAUGGACCCGCGGUGUAUUAGUUAGUUGGUGAGGUAACGGCUCACCAAGACGAUGAUACGUAGCCGACCUGAGAGGGUGAUCGGCCACAUUGGGACUGAGACACGGCCCAAACUCCUACGGGAGGCAGCAGUAGGGAAUCUUCCGCAAUGGACGAAAGUCUGACGGAGCAACGCCGCGUGAGUGAAGAAAGGUUUUCGGAUCGUAAAACUCUGUUGUCAGAGAAGAACAAGUUGGAGAGUAACUGCUCCAGCCUUGACGGUAUCUGACCAGAAAGCCACGGCUAACUACGUGCCAGCCGCUGC